UACAGAGGUCUCAAGCGUUGUUCGGAUUCAUUGGGCGUAAAGGGUGCGUAGGCGGCGCGGUAAGUCGGGGUGUGAAAUCUCGGGAGCUUAACUCCGAAACUGCAUUCGAUACUGCCGUGCUUGAGGACUGGAGAGGAGACUGGAAUUUACGGUGUAGCGGUGAAAUGCGUAGAUAUCGUAAGGAAGACCAGUGGCGAAGGCGGGUCUCUGGACAGUUCCUGACGCUGAGGCACGAAGGUCCAGGGGAGCAAACGGG
rnacentral:rRNA from 1 species